UCUCCAUGCGGGAGGGCGGUACACUCUGUAAACAGGAAUGACAAGCUAAAGUUAUCUAGUUAGUCACAGAAAUGUAAGUUCAGCCUGUUCAUUAUUUCAGUCCGAGUUGACAUGUCUUACGAAGUCAGCAUGGCUUAACAUAGUUCCUUUCGUUUGUGACCUCGACAUUGUUGCUGGAUAGAUACUUUCAUAGCUAACAUGCCUGCGCUGCUAGCUAGCUAAUGCUAACGGCGCUAGCUAACCUCAUAUCUGGAUGCCUCGCUCUAGUUCCCCAGAGAGCAGCAUACUGAUCUGCCAGCCCCAGCAGUUCAGCUGCAUUCACAGCAGUCCUCUGCUGUGGUAUUUCAUUUACCGGCUGCACCAGUUCCUACUACACUGGCCGUGAAGGGAGACACUUUGAGGAGACCCAGAUGGAUACAGAUGUGCCUGACAGCCUCACCCAGAAGACACUGGGCCUAUCCAGACUGACCAAGCAGAGAUGGGUGGCUGACAGCCUCACCCAGAAGACACUGGGCCUAUCCAGACUGACCAAGCAGAGAUGGGUGGCUGACAAGGGAAAAUAAAACACAACACACAUUAUCCACAAUGUAAAUACGUUGUAAUUAUUGUUUAUUUAAUGUUUUGCUGCAUUUUAUUUGAGGAUUGGAGAGAUCUACUCCUUCAUAUCCAUUCUCAAUAUCUACAUAAUUACUCUCCAUAUCUAUCAAAGGGUGAUUGAUAAUAUUGUAAAAGACUACGGCUUAUUGUUUACAGUUGAGGAAAUUAUGUGUGCUUUUUCUCUAAGUUGACAACGUGUUGGUUCCACUUUUCUGUCUCCGUUAUUUACUUAACAAAUAAGGAAUACUUAAAAUGUGAAUAUAUAAAAUUAAGAUAUUUUAAUUAGAAUACAGCCGUAGACAGAAGUCAAAGAUCAACAUACAACUGAUGUCUCUGAGUUGUGAACAAAAGAAAGACAGCAUCUUAUAUAGAUCACACCUUAUGGUGUCAAACCCUGCAUGUGCAGCUAAAAGAACAAGUUAUUCUCAACACAAGAAUGUGCAACAGUCACUCCUGCAGCAAAGCAGAGACUUGGCUGAUUUCUUUUGAUUUUCCCAUGAUGUCAAGCAAAGAAGCACUGCGUUUGAAGAUAGGCCUUGAAAUA